rnacentral:rRNA from 1 species
UACGGAGGGAGCUAGCGUUGUUCGGAAUUACUGGGCGUAAAGCGCGCGUAGGCGGACCUGCAAGUCGGGGGGUGAAAUCCCUCGGCUUAACCGGGGAACUGCGUCUGAUACUGGAUGGCUCGAGUGUGGGAGAGGGAUGCGGAAUUCCAGGUGUAGCGGUGAAAUGCGUAGAUAUCUGGAGGAACACCGGUGGCGAAGGCGGCAUCCUGGACCAUAACUGACACUGAUAAGCGAAAGCCAGGGGAGCAAAGCGGG